rnacentral:rRNA from 1 species
AUGAAGUGCAAAUUUUUUUCCUGGCUUGCGGUGCUAAAUCGAUGCCUCACCGCCGAUAACCUGGCCAAACGAGGAUGGCCACACACUGCAUCAUGCAGUCUCUGCCAGAGGACGCCGGAGAGCGCAUUUCACCUGCUCGCCUCAUGCUCCUUCACCACGGAGCUUUGGCAAAGGGUGCUAAGCCGGUGCGGUCUAUCGGCGAUGCUGGCACCGUCCGCGACCGUGGCAAACCUUCUAGAAUGGUGGGAUCAAAGCCGGUCCAGGGUGAUGUGGAUGGAGCUCGCUGGUGCAGCUGGUCUGGUAGACGGCAUGAAAAGAACGAAAUACGCGGAUCUUCGAUAA